AACGCACAUUGCGCCCCCUGGUAUUCCGGGGGGCAUGCCUGUCCGAGCGUCAUUUCAACCCCUCAAGCACGGCUUGUGUUAUGGGUGGCCGUCCCCUGCCUGGCGGGGGACGCUCCCUAAACUUAGCGGGGACGUCGCGAUCACACCGAAGCCUCAGCGUAUGGGAUCAACCAGAGCUGCACGGCGGUGUCCGGCGUCGACCUUAGCGGGCAUGACCGCCCAAAAUCUUCCAGGUUGACCUCGGAUCAGGUAGGGAUACCCGCUGAACUUAA
rnacentral:misc_RNA from 1 species